rnacentral:rRNA from 1 species
AAUCAACGCUGGCGGCGUGCCUAACACAUGCAAGUCGAACGCGAAAGUGGAGCAAUCCAUGAGUAGAGUGGCAAACGGGUGAGUAACACGUGGGUGACCUGCCUUCGAGUGGGGGAUAACGUCCCGAAAGGGACGCUAAUACCGCAUAACAUGCUGUCUUUUAAGAGAGAGACAUCAAAGCCGGGGACCGUAAGGCCUGGCGCUUGAAGAGGGGCCCGCGCCUGAUUAGCUAGUUGGUGGGGUAAUGGCUCACCAAGGCAACGAUCAGUAUCCGGCCUGAGAGGGCGGACGGACACACUGGGACUGAGACACGGCCCAGACUCCUACGGGAGGCAGCAGUGGGGAAUUGUUCGCAAUGGGCGCAAGCCUGACGACGCAACGCCGCGUGGAGGAUGAAGAUUUUCGGAUCGUAAACUCCUUUCGAUCGAGACGAAUAGCCUUUGGGAUAACACCCUGGAGGAAUGACGGUACCGAGAGAAGAAGCCCCGGCUAACUCCGUGCCAGCAGCCGCGGUAAUACGGGGGGGGCAAGCGUUGUUCGGAAUUACUGGGCGUAAAGGGCUCGUAGGCGGCCAACUAAGUCAUACG